CCAGGGUACACAAGGUAGGUGGCUGUUCUCCGGAAAUGUCAGUUUCUGGGCAGGGCUUAGGUGUCUGCAGUCCCUAGUCCCACCCCUGGCCUUGCAUUCCAGCUCAGCAGGUGGAAGGUAUAAAUUUCAGCUGCUCUCAGCCCUGCUGUGAUUUCUAAAGCCUUCUAACAGCAACAUGAAGUUGGCAGCCUUCCUCCUCCUUGUGAUCCUCAUCAUCUUCAGCCUAGAGGUACAAGGGCUUCAGGCUGCAGUGAGACCGUUGCGACUUUUGGGUACCUGCGUCGAGCUCUGCAAAGGUGACUGGGACUGCAAUCCCGGAGAGCACUGUGUCAGCAAUGGGUGUGGUCAUGAGUGUGUUGCAGAGUAAGGACAGAUGAAGAGUUAUCUUAAGGAUCAUCUUUCUCUAAGAUAAGCAUCCCUUCUUGGAGUUCCUAUCUUCCAAGAUGUGACUGUUUGGAGUACCUUGACUAAGAAGAUGGAUGAAAAUGGCGAGCCUGUGGAUAGGGACUACAGGGGAUAUGGGAGGCAGGGAAGAGGGGUUGUUUCUUUUAAUAAAUCAUCACUGUUAAAAGCA